AAGCUCGUAGUUGAAUUUCGGGGUUAGUAGGUUGGUCAUGCCUCUGGUAUGUACUGGUCUCACUGAUUCCUCCUUCCUUAUGAGCCAUAAUGCCAUUAAUUUGGUGUUGCGGGGAAUUUGGACUGUUACUUUGAAAAAAUUGAGUGUUUAAAGCAAGCUAACGCUUGAAUACAUUAGCAUGGAAUAAUGAAAUAGGACGUUCGAUCUUAUUUUGUUUGGUUUCUAGGAUCGACGUAAUGAUUAAUAGGGAUAGUUGGG
rnacentral:rRNA from 1 species